UAUGCCCCUAUAAAUUCGGAGUCCUCCAUCCCGGAAUGGCCCCGGUGGGCUUUUGUGAUCGAAUCGGCAUCCUCUCCAAGUUGCACGUAUAAUUGGAAAGUGCUGUUCUCACAUCGGAGCCGUUCGUGACGUGCCCGUCGGCUAGAGCGGGCUUUACCGGUAUAUCCAAUGAACGGUUGAGAUGAGACAACAUGAGAAAUGGACGGUGGAUGGGAAAUCAAACAGGUUCAUGGUAUCGGAGAGGAUCCCAACUCAUUUGGUGUGGGGUGGAUGGUGGCGGCUCUUUGCCAACCCGAGAGGUCGGUUUGAUUCACAUUGUUCAUGUUCGAAUUGACAUAAUGCUUCAAUUAUUUAAAGCUUUGAGAUUUAGGUUUGGUACAUUAAUACCUAUAAAACUAAUUACAUAGAGAUGUUUAUAUAAAAUAAAAAUACUAAUAAUUUGUUUUGCAGAACUGAAUAAUUGGACGGUCGAUAUAAGUUUAAUCUUCAUGAUUUUUUAGUAUUUUAUUAUUUACGUUUAGCUUUCUACAAGAUGAUUGCUACUAUUUUUGACGAGUCAUCUCAUAUUUAAUGAUAAGAUAAUAAUAUUUGGUAUUCUAUGGUUGAUUUAAAGAAAAAUAAUCAUGAUCUCAUUAUCAGAAAAAAAAUUAAUUUAGCUCAUGAAUUUUCUUUUUAUGGCAAAGGAUUUUUUUCACAUAAAGUGGAUCAUUAUAAUAGUAUUUUAUUAUUUGAAAAAAAAAAUAUUAGACUCAAUCAAUAAAGGUCAUUAUUCAAUAUAUGUACACAUAAAAUAUUGAUUUAAUAAUUAUGAAAGAUUGAAGAUUCGAAAUAUGUGAUCAUAAGAUCUAAAAUAAUAAAAAAAAAUAUGGAUGAUAUAACUUAUUUAUUUUAUAUAAAGAAAAAUUAUUGUUUCUUUUCACAACAUUGACAUGUUUUGGAACCCCGGACACAUCACUACUGACGCCACAUGCCAAGUCAAAACCGUAUCGAGAAAUUAUUCCACUUGUCCCGUCCCGAGAGCUCGGGGCGGUGCCGUCUUACGCGGCUUCGCACGCCUCGAGACGGCGAUCGAUUAAAGGUGUCGUCCCAUCCCUCGAGAGUCGACGGUCACAUCAAAUCAACAUGCUAUCGACCCUCGUACAAUAGUAUAAAGCAUACGAUCGAUCUCCGACCAGAGGAGGCAUAAAAGAACUCUACCCACUACUGACUCGAUCUUUGGAGGGGUCAAAGUUGAGAACUACUCGACAAAGGCCAUUUUUGCAGGGAAGCAUCACCACCUACGGCUCGCGAACGUCCCACCUUGGAAAUCCCCGACCAAUGUCCCUAAGACAAAACAUCAAUUGGCCCGGAUCCCGAUCGACGCCAACCAGCACCCCUUCCCGAGGGCACGACCACCUCGUCAUCUAGCUCAUUCCGUAGAAGGCUCCUGACAUCGACCUGCGGACCUAGCUGUGCUGACUCAUCAGCCACGAUAUAUUUGUUCGUUAACAUUUUGGCAGCUCGUGAACGUCUCACCUUGGAAAUCCUCGACCGACGUCCCCAAGGCAAGUCGUCAACUGGCCCAGAUUUCGACCGAUGCCAACCAGCAUAUCUUCCUAAGGGUACGACCACCUCAGCAUCCAGCUCAUUUCGUUAAAGACUUCUAACAUCGACCCACGGAAAUAUGCUGUGAGUUCGUUAAAAAACAUAUUGUUCAUUUUAUUGGCAGCUGACUAAAAUAUACUGUGAGUUGUAUGAAUUCAUGUGCAGUUCUGUUCAUUGGACCGCAGGAGGUUGGACAGUGUGCUUGUCAUUAGUCUUCCCGGCCUCAUUCGUCUGACAGCUGUAUUCUAAAACAGCUGCAAUGUGGAUAAAAUGAGAUACUGUAUGACUAAGUGUGAGGACAACUGAUUCAGAUCCAUCGGCAAAGAAAAAGAUUCUAAGCCUUUAUUAUUUAAUUAUUUCAAUGAAUAAAAGAAUCAUAUUAA
rnacentral:lncRNA from 1 species